CUUGCUGUGCUUUAGCUGUCUGAAGACGGACCAAAUCUGUUCAAUACUCUCUAAAGCGUUUGGUCCCCUUCAACCAGCUGUAGUUGGCGAGCUCU
rnacentral:pre_miRNA from 1 species